AUUGAUGAAACUGGCCUAUUUUUCAAAUG
rnacentral:sRNA from 1 species